CCUACGGGUGGCUGCAGUGAGGAAUAUUGGUCAAUGGCCGAGAGGCUGAACCAGCCAAGUCGCGUGCGGGAUGAAUGCCCUACGGAUUGUAAACCUCUUUUGCCCGGGGGUAACGCCCUCCACGUGUGGAGGUCGGAGGGUACCUUACGAAUAAGGGUCGGCUAAUUCCGUGCCAGCAGCCGCGGUAAUACGGAGGACGCGAGCGUUAUCCGGAUUUAUUGGGCUUAAAGGGUGCGUAGGCGGGUGAUCAAGUCAGCGGUAAAAUCGCGGAGCUCAACUCCAUCCAGCCGUUGACACUGGUGAUCUUGAGUGGACGAGAGGCAGGCGGAAUGCGUGGUGUAGCGGUGAAAUGCAGAGAUAUCACGAAGAACUCCGAUUGCGAAGGCAGCAUACCGGGGCCCGACUGACGCUGAGGCACGAAGGUGCGGGUAUCAAACAGGAUUAGAUACCCUGGUAGUC
rnacentral:rRNA from 1 species